rnacentral:pre_miRNA from 1 species
AUUCUGGGAACAUUCAACGCUGUCGGUGAGUUUGGAUGCAUAAUAAACCAUCGACCGUUGGCUGUGCCCUGAGA